UUCAACCUGAGAGUUUGAUCCUGGCUCAGAACGAACGCUGGCGGCAGGCUUAACACAUGCAAGUCGCGCGAACCUUCGGGUUAGCGGCGGACGGG
rnacentral:rRNA from 1 species